CCUGUUCCACGAUCUCGAAAGAAAAUUUGUGCGAACGAAGGCUACUCACUCACUUUCGCAUAAGAAUGCGUUCCACUAACUUUCGUUCUUUCUUUCGCAUAGCCUUACGUGAUUCAGUGUUGCUAAAUAUUUUUUGGUAGAAUUAAUCGCGAAAUAAGGCAAAAAAAAGCGCCAAAUGUCUAAUUUAAACGCGAAAAAGCAGCAGUGGCUCUGUCUCAACUGACAGUUCAGUUGUAAACAAAUAAAUUGUAAAUAAACAAACAAAAUAAAAUUCCUAGUGAUUGUGUUCAGAUUAUUUGUGUUCUUAAAAAAGAAAAAAAUGAAUAUUUCUGUAGCCCUAUUUUUUAUGGAUGAUGAGGAGGAGGUUCAAAUUGUGCCACGGAGGCAUUUAAGAGAUGCUUCGAAUUUAUUUGAAGUACCUAACAACCAGUUUGUGUCUUCCAGUGGUCUUCAUGGGAUUGCCUGCUGCUUCCAAAAAUUGACACUCCUCUGGCGAACUUAGGAUUCUCCCCCAUAUACUCAACUAGUGCCCGCAGCUGUGUAGUUUUUUCGUGCUGGAAUUGAGAAAAUAAAAAAAUAUAUAUUUGUUGUUCACAGAUUAAA